CGUCGCGCUCACGCCUGAAAGGCGGAUGGCAUGCUCUGGUGCGUAUGCUGCGGAGGUGGUACCGAAGCGCUUUGUGUGUGGGACAUCGGCUGAUUUGCCGCCGUUCUCGCACCUCCGCACGUGAUGCAGCGCCACAGGUGAGCGAGGUGUCGACGCUGCGAGGCCAGAACGCUUUGCCGGCGGAUGUCCCGCGAGCCCCGCGGGUUGUGUCGGACGCGGGGACGACGUCCCUGCCGGUAUGUGCGCACUGUAUCGCUGACUCGUAGGAUGGGGCUGCGUGGUAUGCAAGGUGCGACGGCACGGCGAGGAGCCGUCAUUCUCCAGUGCAUAGAGGGGCAGGUGAGUAGCGACACCGCACCGAGAAGCGUUGAGAGCGAGGCGGUUGUUGCAGAAAACCUUGGUGGCACUUGUGGCCGUGUGAACCGCUAUGGCCGAUGGUGAAAUUGCGGUGGCAAAAAUCAGAGGGCAUCCGCGUGGACAGAGAAUGCAGAGGCGCUGUCGAGUCCUGUGCUGCGCGAUGACUCAGCACCUCGGGAUAAAACGGCGCUCGCUUUUAAACAGCUCCUGGAGCUGCUGCGUCGCCGGCUGGUACGGCACCCCGUAAGGCGCACAUCGCCAGAGGACUUGCGCAUAUGCGUCUUGACAUCUGUGCGCCUUCAUUUUUCUUUUGCUUCUGUUCUUGUCUUUUCCUGCUGUGUAAGUCUAAACCUCUCUCUCUAUAUACAUCUUUGUUUGUGUGUUGUGUCUACUGAUGCGCCGUGUGUGCGGGUGGAGUUUGUUGUGAUGCUCGGUGGAUCGACGUAGUGGUAUUUGCAUUGUGUGUGAAAAGCAGACGUGGACAGUGGGCUCGUGUGCAUCACACGGACGUGAGGGCACUGCUGUGACUGGCGCUCAAACUGGUUCUCGGCGACGCCCUGCCUGUGGGCUCACGGGUGGGUGUGUGCUCCUGUGCCACCCACGUCGGUACUCCCCAUGGCUCUCACCGUCUAUGGCACCCAGCGGCUCGUCCUCGCUCCUCCUAUGAGUGUGUUGGGUGGGGUGCACGGUCGUCACCACAGCUGUUCUUCACAUGCCUGGUACCUGUCGAAAGCCCUUUCAGGAGACUGAAUGAGGGAUGUGACUCCUUUUUGUGCCACCUGCGCUGCUCCGAGAUCUUGCUAUCAUGUUUGCUCGUCGUCGCGGCCUUUGGUGCCCUCGUGGUUGUGCCUACGCGAUGUGCCACACCCCUAUGCAGAUGCUUGGCUGCCCCGUGUUGUGUGGUUGUGCGCCUUGCCUCUGUGACAGAGUUGAGCGCACAGAGGAAGCCCGACUGCACCACCGCGCUAGUUGUUCUCCAUCUUGUGGCUGUUUGGACGGCCGCUGUCU
rnacentral:misc_RNA from 1 species